UGUGAUGUUAGCAUGUGCUUAGGUUUUAGCUGGAAUAUCGAAAGAUGCAAACCCAUUUCUCACUUGACUUAAACUCAACAGACACUUCUGAGCACAUUGAGUUUCAUUAUCAAACCUAAUCCAUCCACUUUUAUUAUAAGACCUUUAUCGCGAUUUGUUUUUCGUAAACGUACUGCGUACUUCAUGUCGGUGAAAAAAAAGCCUAGACACUUUCUUUUUUUACAAAUGUGUUGAAAGGCACAGAAAUGUGGGUCACGCGAACCUACUUCAUGUUGUGCUUUAAAAAAAAUAAAAGACUAACUUAAAACAGGAUACGCAAUAUGUUUUAACACUUCUAACGAAGCUGAAAACAUGGUACUUCCAAUUCCAUCUGAUAAAGCAAGGCACUUGAGUUCACUGCUAAAUUUUCUUGUUUGAACGCCCAAAGUCUCGACUAUGAUACUGGGACACAUGGCUAGAUCAUUCCAGAGUGUUCUUGGACUACAUAAAUGAAGGCUCGAUAAAUUUUUACUGAGUACACAAAGUCAAAGCAGGGUGUUAUCAGGGAAUGAGUCAGGGAAAGCUUCUCGUCGGCAAACAAAGAUAACCAAACGCUACAAGAACAAUCUGUAAUGAUAACAUGUGCUCUCAGUUUAUCGAUGAAGCCCUGCAAACAUCAGUUCGAUGUAUACGAGGAACCUCCCUGGCAGAUAGUUCAGGCAACGGGGAAGAAUCUAGUUCAUCAGGGGCCGCUGACAAACCUCAUCAUACAGCCCUUGACAAAAAUAUUCACAAAGUGGGUUGUUGCUUUUGGACUCACGGACCUCCUCCUGGCAAGAAGACAACUAUUCCUAGAGGCCUUGGAGCACGCUUUUUUCUCCGGGGUAGAAAGAUCAUUAAUCGAGAGCACCGCUGACAUGAUGUUCUUAAAUUUCAAAAACUCGAUGAAAACUAACCACUCGUCAACAGUGCAAAUAGGAAAGACAAAAAUAUGAUGUCGCGGACAGUCUUGAGAAUGAGAAAUUAUUGUAAUACAGAGGGUAAAUAAACAUAAAGCCUGGA